rnacentral:lncRNA from 1 species
UUUGUUUUGUGUGUGAUCGCAAUGAUUUUCUGUGACCAAGCUGUUUAACAAAUAAUUCUUUAAGCAAUGGUUUAAUUGAUAUGGAAUUUAAAUUGCAUGUUUAAAAUUACAAAGUUCAAGCCUAGUCUAUUAUGUUUGAAAGAAUGUAAAUUCAAUUCUUUAUUCUCCAUAGAUUUCAGAUUUGAAUAUUCAACUCAGCUUUACUUUUGUAAUUAAGGUUGCUUUUCUAAAGAUGUUCUUAUAAGAGUUGUGAAGAGUUGGGUGAAUUUCCUUUUGUGUAGAUUGAGUUUUUCCUUGAGGACAAGCAAAUAUUAAGUGUGGGGGAAUUUGAUGGGUUUAUUAUUUGUGCCGAAUAACCUAUGAAAAUGUGACUAUUUUAGUCAUAUAAUUUGGUAUUUUUGAUGGGUUUGUUGGUCUAUGUGAUUAAAUAGAUGCAGGUAUUAGUUGACUCUAUUUAUUUGCCUNNNNN